CUGGAUGAAAAGAAAGUUUGUUGGUAUGAGCCCAUGCAAUAACCUCCACCCUUAAUGAGUCCACCACAAACAGUUUCCCCUGAGGACAAUCAGAAGGUGG